CCUACGGGAGGCAGCAGUGAGGAAUAUUGGUCAAUGGGCGCGAGCCUGAACCAGCCAAGUCGCGUGAGGGAAGACGGCCCUACGGGUUGUAAACCUCUUUUGUCGGGGAGCAAAGCGAGUCACGUGUGACUCAUUGAGAGUACCCGAAGAAAAAGCAUCGGCUAACUCCGUCCCAGCAGCCGCGGUAAUACGGAGGAUGCGAGCGUUAUCCGGAUUUAUUGGGUUUAAAGGGUGCGCAGGCGGAGGUGCAAGUCAGCGGUCAAAUUGCGGGGCUAAACCCCGUACUGCCGUUGAGACUGCAUGCCUAGAGUGCGCGAGAGGUAUGCGGAAUGCGAGGUGUAGCGGUGAAAUGCAUAGAUA
rnacentral:rRNA from 1 species